rnacentral:lncRNA from 1 species
GAUCUACCUGGACAUUUACAAGGGCAGUUCCAGCUAAUUGAAACAUUAGAGACCCACCAGGAAUCGAGCCCCUGAUGAAGGGGUCAGGAUGAGAGACUCUGUGAUCUCAGCAACACCCAGAUGUUGGUCUGGCUGAUGUUCCAUGAGGACAGUAAACUUGGGAGUUUCUGAAGAUCUGGACCUGAUGGGAUCUGGGCCCCCACAACCUGGUAGACCGUGAUGCUGAGAUGAUUACUAAAAGUGGACCAGCAACCAAAUGAAGUGCUCAUGCAAUUGAAAUUGCCUUGAGGAUACAGCCUUGGGACAAUCUCUUUGGGAGUUCCUGAAGAUCUGGACCUGACGGAGUUUAGCCCCAACAACCCUGAGAACAGCAUCUUUCCAAGGAACUACCCACCCAUCAUUUUGUUGGAAAUUCUGCGUAAUGUGUGAGGACUUCAUGAGGCUGUGUCCUUGGUCAAAAAUUGGGGCUGUAGACCUCAGUGGGCCACAAGACUACUUUCCCACAAAGGAUGAAGAGAGUCAGUGGUCAAAAGUGAAAGCGAAUUACCUCAAAAGUAACCAGAGUACCUGCCAGGACAGUUAAAUUCACCUGGCUGGUAAGUGAGAGCUGCAGCCACAUAGCUUAUCUGGGUUAACUGAAAGCAUCACACUGACUUUAGGGAAAGAUGCUUCAUUGGUAUAAUUUACAAGGGC